AGAAGAUCAGAGUUUGCAGGAGGAAGAAGAAAAUUGCAGAGAGAAUUGAGAGGAAGAUAUAACAAUUGUAUAACGUUGCUGCCGAACUUCAAUUUUUCAUCAUUCUGCAGACGCCGAAGAGAUGAAAAUGUUGAAAUCAUAUCUUCUGAAGGCUGCUUUUAGAAACUGUGGCUAUAAUCUUUUCCAGUUCAUUCCACAGGUAAUGUUGUGCCUUGAA